rnacentral:rRNA from 1 species
AACGAAUGCUGGCGGCAGGCUUAACACAUGCAAGUCGAACGCCCCGCAAGGGGAGUGGCAGACGGGUGAGUAACGCGUGGGAAUCUACCGUGCCCUGCGGAAUAGCUCCGGGAAACUGGAAUUAAUACCGCAUACGCCCUAUGGGGGAAAGAUUUAUCGGGGUAUGAUGAGCCCGCGUUGGAUUAGCUAGUUGGUGGGGU